AAUUCACGUAACACCUCCCUUCCCAAUAUGCCAACCUCUUCCUUUGUUCUUAGGGCAUACAAAACCACCGUGGUCUGUGCAUAUCCCUGGGCUGCAAUUCCGUUUUUAUAUACAUUCUCCAGGAAAACCGUCUGCUUAGAGAUUCGCCUCUGUCUUUAUUUCACUGCGGCAGAGUGAAGGUGUUCCGAAGGUGGAGGAGGCCCUCGGGCAGCACUGUUGGCCCUUACCAGCCAUUCCAAUCAUCGUAUUCCUCCAAGGAUGAGCAUACUACCCUUGAUUACAUGUACGCUCCAGUGCAUCCCGGUGAAACCUGCCAGACAAUCUGGGAAUGAGAAAGCUCUUGAAAUCUUCAUGCCAAAGGUGGAGCUUGCACCACGCAAGACAUUUUACAACCAAUCUGCAUCACAAUAAUCCUGCCAGAUGACAUCACAAUGGUCCUGUCAGGAAGCUGGCUCCAAGGAGGACCUUGACACUGCUUUAAACAAGACCACCAGUUUGCUUAAGGAUUCAACAAGCAGAUCUUGGCAAGGCAAAUUUAUAAGCACUAGUUAAAGGUUAAGAAAAGUUCUGGCGUCCUUAUUGAACCCAAGAGAAGCAGAAAUGCUAGCGUGUAUGACCAUGGACCACUAAGCAAGGAAGUGCUUUUACAGGCCUCAGCGGUGGUGGGAGUCCCAGAGCAGGCUCUUUGCAGGGAAGGAAGCAAAAGGGCGAGAAUAACUGGAGUAGUUUAACAAUGUGAUUGGUUAACUGGGGUUAGGCUCAAUAAAACGCUUUGGGCCUGCUAUUGCUGGGCAGACUAAUUGUACCACAGAGAUUCAGGCCACGUGUGGCAACAGUUGCAGAGUGUUGGUUCUAUUGUGCUGGUUAUUUUCCAGCAGGGACACAUGACGUUUCUCACGACUCCAGUGUCAGCUGUUUAGUGCUGUAGACCCUGUCCUGGGCCAUGCUGUAAUGUUCACAUGAAAUGUACAAGAGUUGAUACGUCUUUUUCACAAGCAAAAUAAUUUUAGAACCAUCAUGAAUUAUUUGUUUUAUCAUAUGCUCAGUUUACAAAUUAACUGGAGUAAUUUUACUCUGCUCUGAAGGUUCUAGCAGAAAACAGAGCUAGGAAUUAUUUCUCCCCC
rnacentral:lncRNA from 1 species